rnacentral:rRNA from 1 species
AUUGAACGCUGGCGGCAGGCUUAACACAUGCAAGUCGAACGAGUGGCGGACGGGUGAGUAAUGUCUGGGAAACUGCCUGAUGGAGGGGGCUAACUACUGGAAACGGUCGCUAAUAACGCAUAUCACCGGAUGUGCCUAGAUGGGAUUAGCUAUCAGGUGGGGUAACGGCUGACCUAGGCUACGAUCCCUAGCUGGUCUGAGUGGAUGACCGGCCCCGCUGGAGCUGAGGGACGGUCCAAACUCCUACGAGAGGCAGCAGUGGGGAAUAUUGCACGAUGGGGGCAAGCCUGAUGCAGCCAUGCCGCGAGUAUGAAGAAGGCCUGCGGGUUGUAAAGUGCUUUCAGCGGGGAGGCGUUACCCGCAGAAGAAGCACCGGCUAACUCCGUGCCAGCAGCCGCGGUAAUAC